rnacentral:lncRNA from 1 species
UCCGAAGAUGUUCGGCUUCAUCUGCCACCCGUUCAUGAGCGUUCCUCCAGUCAAUAACUUGGUUCCUUGCAGACGCCUCCUGUUUCUUGAGCUCUACAAAGCAAAAGAACUCAGACCACAGCCAACGACAGUUGGACACACCCAAAGUAGUCGCAAUGCUUACCUUGAUACUUCUUGUUCAAGGAUUUAUAGCGGCUCUCCAGUUUCUCCUGCAGAACGGCGUGAUCCGCGCGUUCCACGGCAAAGGAUUUCGCCCCGACUUCAUGAAUCCGAAGCG